GACGUAGGGCGCGAGCGUUGUCCGGAUUUAUUGGGCGUAAAGAGCGUGUAGGCGGCCAGACAGGUCAGCUGUGAAAACUCGAGGCUCAACCUCGAGACGUCGGUUGAAACCGUCUGGCUAGAGUCCGGAAGAGGAGAGUGGAAUUCCCGGUGUAGCGGUGAAAUGCGCAGAUAUCGGGAAGAACACCCGUGGCGAAGGCGGCUCUCUGGGACGGUACUGACGCUGAGACGCGAAAGCGUGGGGAGCGAACAGGG
rnacentral:rRNA from 1 species